UUGCGGAGGCGUUCAAUCGGCAAUUGGUGGGCGACUUAGGGAAGGUCAUUUGGAUUUAUUCUUAUUUCUUAAGAAAUUGUCAUUGAUCAUCCGAGAUGAGGAAUUAAAGUGGUGACGAUUGGACCAAGGCCAUGAGUUGAGCGCUGAACGUCUUGCGUAUCAAGUCGCUGUCAGUAAUCGCAUUAUCAAUUUCCAGAACUCUCUCGAUAGUGAAAGGUUUAUAGUCACGGAAUUUCUCCAUGCAGUUGGACUGUAGAGAGUUCAAGUAGUCAUCCAGG